AAGUUAAAGAAGUCUCAAUUAUUAGAAUGUUUAAUUAGUUUAUGAAAUUGAAUGCAGCCAGAAUUCAUAUCUGCAUUAUGCACACACAAGAACACAAAAUGAGGAAUACGCUUAUCUAAUCUAUAAAAGUAGCAUUUCGGAACAUGAAGACCACCAAUCAACUCCCAGUAGUGGCCAUGGAUGUGGCAUAGAAGCUCUCUGUCCGAUUGCUGAGCAUUUAGUGUUCCCGGGGACAUACUUAGUUACUGUGCAUAGGUACCAGCAGCCAAUAUUCCAACACUUGUUUCCAAAAAAAUAAACAUACAACUUUACAGAUAGUGGAUACAGUGAGCU